rnacentral:rRNA from 1 species
CCUACGGGUGGCAGCAGUGAGGAAUAUUGGUCAAUGGACGAGAGUCUGAACCAGCCAAGUAGCGUGAAGGAUGACUGCCCUAUGGGUUGUAAACUUCUUUUAUAAAGGAAUAAAACGAGGCACGUGUGCCUUUUUGCAUGUACUUUAUGAACAAGGAUCGGCUAACUCCGUGCCACCAGCCGCGGUAAUACGGAGGAUCCGAGCGUUAUCCGGAUUUAUUGGGUUUAAAGGGAGCGUAGAUGGGUUGUUAAGUCAGUUGUGAAAGUUUGCGGCUCAACCGUAAAAUUGCAAUUGAUACUGGCAGUCUUGAGUACAGUUGAGGUAGGCGGAAUUCGUGGUGUAGCGGUGGAAUGCUUAGAUAUCACGAAGAACCCCGAUUGCGAAGGCAGCUUACUAAACUGUGACUGACAUUGAUGCUCGAAAGUGUGGGUAUCAAACAGGAUUAGAUACCCUAGUAGUC